rnacentral:rRNA from 1 species
GAACGCCCGGGCUUCGGCCUGGUUAUUCAUAACCCUUUGUUGUCCGACUCUGUUGCCUCCGGGGCGACCCUGCCUUCGGGCGGGGGCUCCGGGUGGACACUUCAAACUCUUGCGUAACUUUGCAGUCUGAGUAAACUUAAUUAAUAAAUUAAAACUUUUAACAACGGAUCUCUUGGUUCUGGCAUCGAUGAAGAACGCAGCGAAAUGCGAUAAGUAAUGUGAAUUGCAGAAUUCAGUGAAUCAUCGAAUCUUUGAACGCACAUUGCGCCCCCUGGUAUUCCGGGGGGCAUGCCUGUUCGAGCGUCAUUUCACCACUCAAGCCUCGCUUGGUAUUGGGCAACGCGGUCCGCCGCGUGCCUCAAAUCGUCCGGCUGGGUCUUCUGUCCCCUAAGCGUUGUGGAAACUAUUCGCUAAAGGGUGUUCGGGAGGCUACGCCGUAAAACAACCCCAUUUCUAAGGUUGACCUCGGAUCAGGUAGGGAUACCCGCUGAACUUAAGCAUAUCAAUAAGCGGAGGA